rnacentral:rRNA from 1 species
AUACAGAGGGUGCGAGCGUUAAUCGGAUUUACUGGGCGUAAAGCGCGCGUAGGCGGCCAGAUAAGUCGGAUGUGAAAGCCCCGGGCUCAACCUGGGAAUUGCAUUCGAUACUGUCUGGCUAGAGUAUGGUAGAGGGAAGUGGAAUUCCACAUGUAGCGGUGAAAUGCGUAGAUAUGUGGAGGAACACCAGUGGCGAAGGCGGCUUCCUGGCCCAAUACUGACGCUGAGGCGCGAAAGCGUGGGGAGCAAACAGGAUUAGAAACCCUUGUAGUCC